GACAGAGGGUGCAAACGUUGUUCGGAAUUACUGGGCGUAAAGGGCGCGUAGGCGGCGCGACAAGUCACUUGUGAAAUCUCCGGGCUUAACCCGGAGCGGCCAAGUGAUACUGUAGUGCUAGAGUGCGGAAGGGGCUACUGGAAUUCCUGGUGUAGCGGUGGAAUGCGCAGAUAUCAGGAGGAACACCGAUGGCGAAGGCAGGUCUCUGGGCCACUACUGACGCUGAGAAGCGAAAGCAUGGGGAGCGAACAGG
rnacentral:rRNA from 1 species